GAUGAACGCUAGCGGCAGGCUUAACACAUGCAAGUCGAGGGGCAGCGCGAUGUAGCAAUACAUUGGCGGCGACCGGCGCACGGGUGCGUAACACGUAUGGAACUUACCCUUUACUGGGAGAUAGCCCGGAGAAAUCCGGAUUAAUAUCCCAUAAUAAACGAAGUGGCAUCACUUUGUUUUGAAAGCUCCGGCGGUAAAGGAUGGCCAUGCGCACGAUUAGCUAGUAGGUGAGGUAACGGCUCACCUAGGCUACGAUCGUUAGGGGGCCUGAGAGGGUUAUCCCCCACACUGGUACUGAGACACGGACCAGACUCCUACGGGAGGCAGCAGUGAGGAAUAUUGCGCAAUGGAGGCAACUCUGACGCAGCCAUGCCGCGUGCAGGAAGAAGGCGCUACGCGUUGUAAACUGCUUUUAACCGGGAAGAAACCCUCCGACGUGUCGGAGGUUGACGGUACCGGAGGAAUAAGCACCGGCUAACUCGUGCCAGCAGCCGCGGUAAAGUAUCGU
rnacentral:rRNA from 1 species